UACGGGGGGAGCAAGCGUUGUUCGGAUUUACUGGGCGUAAAGGGCGCGUAGGCGGCCUGUUAAGUCGAACGUGAAAUCCCCGGGCUCAACCCGGGAACUGCGUCCGAUACUGGCAGGCUUGAAUCCGGGAGAGGGAUGCGGAAUCCAGGUGUAGCGGUGAAAUGCGUAGAUAUCUGGAGGAACACCGGUGCGAAGGCGGCAUGC
rnacentral:rRNA from 1 species